UGCCAGACUCCUACGGGAGGCAGCAGUGGGGAAUAUUGCACAAUGGGGGGAACCCUGAUGCAGCGACGCCGCGUGGGCGAGGAAGUAUUUCGGUAUGUAAAGCCCUAUCGGCAGGGAAGAAGAAAUGACGGUACCUGAAUAAGAAGCCCCGGCUAACUACGUGCCAGCAGCCGCGGUAAUACGUAGGGGGCAAGCGUUAUCCGGAUUUACUGGGUGUAAAGGGAGCGUAGACGGCAAUACAAGUCGGAAGUGAAAUACCCGGGCUCAACCUGGGAACUGCUUUGGAAACUGUAUGGCUGGAGUGCUGGAGAGGUAAGCGGAAUUCCUUGUGUAGCGGUGAAAUGCGUAGAUAUUAGGAGGAACACCAGUGGCGAAGGCGGCUUACUGGACAGUAACUGACGUUGAGGCUCGAAAGCGUGGGGAGCAAACAGGAUUAGAUACCCUAGUA
rnacentral:rRNA from 1 species